GCUGCUCUGCCCUCCAUUCGUUUGACGCUUUUCUGUCUCUAAUUCGGUGAUUCCAGCACUCUUCUGUUAAAUCUGUAUACAUUCCAGCCAUGUCUGAGCCUGUUAAAAUGACUUCUCUUUUACUUUCUCUUUCUUUGAGAGGCUGCCAGCGAGCAGCGUGAUAGAAUCGUGACGCACAACGCAGAUGAGAGACGGCAGGGGCAGGGGUGUCCAUCGUUUGCUGCGUCCUGCUCCCACUUCACAGUCCUUAAUAAAAACCCUGUGAUUCCUCACAAUGUUCGCUAUUGUGCUGUGUUCCUGUUGGCUAAAGAGGCAUUUCCUAUCAGGAAUCAGCCCCAGGAUCCCCUGGACGCCUUUUCUGACUUUUUCCAGGAGAAAUUCGUCGAAGUUGCUCAGAGAUUCGUUUGACCUUCACCAGGUCCUGCUACAGAAAAGCGUUACUCACUUCACGUGAAAUCUGAUUAUGUCAUGUUCCUCUGAAGAGUUUUGCAAGUUUUGUCGAUGCAUGAAGCUUGUUUCACUUUCCCUCCUAAAUUAGAUUACAUAAAUAUGUAGCUCUGUGCAUGUCCCAGAUGUGGUCUCACUGGAGCACGGAAGGAAGAUACAGAUAAGAAAUGUAGGUAAAUGGGUCAGAAAUGAAACGAUGCUCUGGAAUCUAGUCCAUAUUUAAAUUAUAAUCGCAUACUCUAGAUAGAUCAGCAAAGACAAGCGGUCUGGGCAUCAGUCGACGUCUGUAGUUCAUUCAAAGAUAAACCAGGAAUUCUAAACGUAAAAUCAACACUUUACAAUUUCUUUGUGUACAUGAUAGAAUAUACUAUGAAAAGUACAAUUAGACAGACCUAUAAAGUUCUUUUUCUUGUCAUUUAUAUGUAACAGUCAAUUACAGAGCAACAAUAUGCAUAAAAAUGUACAUUUACAAUAUAGCAUUAAAAUUACUCAAAAGUCAUGUAAAUAGUUACAGUCAAUUCUGUUAGACCGUCCAAUAUUUGGGAUCCCUGUCAGUUAGUAUGUUGUCAAGUUAUGAAUUUUUACAUACCAAAAAAUUCAGA